UUUCACCUAAAAAAUCACAGUGUGUAUAUAUAUAUACACUUACAUCUCAAGCUGUAUGUGUGCAGGAUGUGGUUAUAGCUCUUCAAAUGGGAAACAGAUGCUUCAGUGCACGAGUGUGUGUACUUGCAGUGGGCAGCUCUGAAAAUCAUCAGUUUAUAAGGUAAGCAAGUUUUGAAAAAGUUCAGGUGUGCAGCCAGUGAAAACAGCAGUGUGGAGAGAGAAAUGCAGGUUUC